rnacentral:rRNA from 1 species
AAUCCAGAGCCUUAGCGAAAGCGAAUAGCGAAAGUCUGAACAGGGCAUAUGAGUCACAUUUUAUGGACCCCAACCCGGGUGAUCUAAUCAUGGCCAGGUUGAAG